rnacentral:rRNA from 1 species
CAAUAUAAGUGAUGGGCGACCGGCGCACGGGUGAGUAACACGUAUCCAACCUGCCGAUAACUCGGGGAUAGCCUUUCGAAAGAAAGAUUAAUACCCGAUGGUAUAAUAAAACCGCAUGGUUUAAUUAUUAAAGAAUUUCGGUUAUCGAUGGGGAUGCGUUCCAUUAGGCAGUUGGUGAGGUAACGGCUCACCAAACCUUCGAUGGAUAGGGGUUCUGAGAGGAAGGUCCCCCACAUUGGAACUGAGACACGGUCCAA